AGGCGCUGUCCUAAGCCCUUUGCAGAUAUGGAGCCACUUGACCCUCCUAUAACGCGUGCAGUGGGUCCUAUUACCCCCCCAUUUACGGACCAAGGGCAGGGAGGUGGAGACACUGGCUGGAGGCCGCGCAGCAGGGAAGUGGCAGUCAGGAGGCAGCCCAGGCCCUCCCAUCCGACUUCAGAGGCCAGACGCACGCCUUCUAGACGCUGACUCACAAGCCAAGUCACUCCUUCCUGACACUCACGCCACCAUGUCCUCCCCAAAGUGCAUUUGCAUUUUAACAGCCAUCUUCCGUGAGCUGACUCUGUGGUUUUCAGUCAGUGGUUUCCAGUCGGCUAUUUGUCAUAAGAACACCACAGACUGGGCCGUUUAUAAAGAAAAAUUUAUUUUGCGCAGUUCUGGAGGUUGGGAAGUCCAAAGUCGAGUGGCCGUAUCCGGUGAGAGCCCUCCUGCAGCAUCAUCCCAUGACGGAAGGUGUCCCAUGAUAACCAGAAGCAGCAGAGAAAACAUCUGAAGUGCUUCCUGGACACACCUGUUAGGAAGUUUCUGCAAGAACCCAGGUCCUCCUUCCCACCAGACAUGAGGAUUUUAACUUGAUCAUCUCUGCAAAGACCUUAUCUUCAAAUACAGUUACAUUCUGAAGUCCUGGGGGUUAGGGCUGCAACACCCGAAUUGGUGGAGACAAAAUCCAGCUCCUGACAAUACCGCGUAUGAUAGCUGCGUCUCUGCCUGCAGUACUGUUUUCCAGGGAAAGCAUCUUUGAGUGUAUUCAGAAAGCCUCUCUCUGGGGCCAGGCCUUGCAGAGAAUCCUUCAGAAACUGGACAACCCCACCCAAGGCAGUCAGUGGGGAGGACACAUUUGGUGCCUCAUUGGUCCCUGGAUCUGCCUCACAGUCCUCAAUGUUCCUCCUCGUUCCCUCUACUCUUUCUCCUCUUUGGUUGACCUUGAAGCUCAUUCCUGGUGAAGGCCCCGUGGGAGCAGUGCAAUGACAAGAGGAGCCUGUUUUCAAUAGCACCCUCACGCUCUCCAGGGGUCCAUUGGAGGCGCCUAUGACCUCCUGAUGCUGAGGAGCCUAGAGUGGGCAGCCCUCGGGCCCAGGCUCCACCUGGGUGAGGCCUGUUUUAUUAUCAAUACUCACCACAGUCAUUUGUGGGAGUGUAAUGCUCAUAUUCCCAUUUAAGAGAUGAAUAAACUGAGGCAAGGUGAAGUGACUCAGCUGAGGCCACACCACAGUUUAAUGGGGAAGCCAGGAUAAGAGCUGGCGGCUUCUAUGUCUGAUCUACACUCUGAUGGGAGGUCGUCAGAGAGCCAUGUAAACGGUGAGGAGGUGACAUGCUGGUCCCUUCCAUAAAAGCUGUUUUGCAAAAUUAAAACACACACACAGUAAAGAUCCAGAUUUAUGCAAGUGAGAGUGAGGGGCUGACUAUUUACCAGUCAACAGAUCUCCCCAAAUGGUUCUCUGCUUGGGGUUGAGAUGCUCCUGACCAGCAGGGCUUGGGGAGAGACAUUCUUGCUCCCCCUAGAGCUGGCUGACCCAUACCCAGGGGAUUCUGAGCACCAGGGGCUGGGAGCAGCAUGUACCACGUGUUUCCCAAGAGUUAGUCAUGUUUGCUCCUAAAACUUAUUGUAAUCGAGGAAUCUAAUUAAACAAUACACCAACUGAAGAAACAGUGCAAAAAGAAUGAGUGACUGUUUCUAUGAAAACUUAGAUGAACUACUUUGGAAAGAUUCAAUAAAAAGCAUGCCUAAAUACAUAUACUGGGGCCAGGAGCAGUGAUUCACACUUGUAACCCCAGUGCUUUGGGAGGCUGAGGUGGGAGGGUGGCUUGAGGCUAGGAGUUUGAAACCAGCCUAGGCAACAUAGCAAGACCCUGUCUCUACAAAAAAACAAAAAUUUUUCAACUGGUUGUGGCAGCACCUGCCUAUGGUCCCAGCUGCUCUGGAAGCUGAGGUGAGAGGAUCACUCGAGCCCAGGAGUUCAGGCUGCAGUGAGCCGCAAGUGUGCCACUGCACUCCACCCUGGGCAACAGAGCAAGACCCUGUCUCUAAAAAAAUAAAUAAAAUAUGUACAUCCAGAUACAGUAUUAUGUGUGGGCGAGACACCGGUAAAAGAUGGAAACAAUCAUAAAAGUCAGGCAGGAUUCCACCUAAGAUUGUCUUUAGCUCUCAAUCUACCUUGUUUUAAAAUUUUUUUAUGAGCCAUAAAAGACCUAAGACUAGUCUUUAUUGUACAACUUGAUGAAUUCUGAUCCUGUGGCCAUACAGUUCAAAAUAGAGCAUUCUAGCACUCAGAAAGCUCCCUAGUGCCCUCAUCAGUUGGUGCCUGUCAACCCCAAGGAUGUCAUAGUCAUUUGGACACCCCUGGCACAGUCAUUCCACUUAGAGACUCUGCCAGAAGUCCCAGAUCAUAAUCAGGAGUGAAAUUUACACAAGAAGGGGCCGGAAGCCCUAGUGAGUAGUGAACUCAACUCCAAAAUAACCCUACACUAAAAAUAAAACUGGAACGUACUUUUUAUGUUUGAAAUUUAAAUAAGAUAGAUGUAUUUUUGUUAAAUCGUUCCAACCUGUACAACUUUUCUAUUCAUCAGCCAACUAGCCAGAGAAAGGGGGUUUCUGCUGCUGUCAGAGUAUAAAAAUGAGCUGCAAUUUUCAAAAUUUGACCUCAUCUAACUUUCUCCAGCUAUGCCAUUCCUGGAGCAUCCUCAGUCCAGUGCCUGAUGCGUAAAACAUAAUAAAAAGGUGACCCCACCACACCAAACACUGGGGUGUCUGUAGCAGUGACCGCGUCUCACGGGGAUUUUGUCUGAAUGCCUGUUCCUCCACUCGCCUAAUCCAUGGAGGUCAGGGAACCACGCACCUCAACACACACAGUAGCUUCUUAAUAAAUGUUGGUCCAUGGAAGUCAAGUCAGCCCUUAAAGGGAAGGGUAGGAAACAGGUGUGCAGGGAGGGAGGAGUAAAGCUGCCCUGGGCCUGCCAGGCCUGGGGCCACCCCGCAGGCAACUCUGGAGCCAGACAGCCUCGGGGCACCCCAGGCUGAGGGAAGGAGCUGGGCACAGCCCUGUGUCCCCGUCUCUCAGCCAAUGGAGGAGGAGCUUGGUCAGUCCCUACAAAGGUUGCAGUGGAGACCCUGCACCAGGGUACCCACCUACCCAUGAAGGCACAGGAGGAACAUUCUGGAAAUGAGGAGGCCCUUGUGAAGCCACAGAGGUGUGGAACAGCAUGGCACAGCACCCCUGCAAUUCCCAUACCCUGUGAGGACCCCACAGUCCUCAUCUGUCCCUGGAUGUAGUGCAGUGGUUGUCCUCGGAGUCGCUGGGGUCUCUGCCUGCUGGCUCUGCCCUAGUCCCGAACUGGACGCCCUGGCUCACAGUCCCUCCCCACGGCACCCCCUCCUGCAUUCCUUGGCUCACCCAUGAGCCCCUCUUGGGAAUGGCUCCCCAACUCCACUGCUUCAGGAAGGAGCAGCUUAAUGCUUCCCGAAGCUUCUCCAGCCCCACCCCACUUACCCCCAUGAUGUGAGCGCUUGGACGCACCGUCCCAGUGACCUGCCUCCACGGUAAAAGAGGGCCUGAAUGGGGGUUCUUCAGUGCGGGGAUCAGGGGCUGAUUUCAGAAUCUAACGACUGUCAUUAUGCCGCAUACACAGAAAAAUGAACACGAGAGCUACAAUUUACAUAAAAAUCCCGGAUUUGGGGAGCCCCCAUAGAACCCCAAGACCAAAGACAGGUCUCUCAAUGGGAAAAUUUCAGGAAGCGACGCCAGGUGUCCUAAUCCUCUGAAGCCCAGAAUGUGUGUGCACCGGGGCGGGGCUGCCCCGGAGAAGGUUCAGGCGACCUUCGCGUGAGGACUCCAGGCCCCUCCGGAGAACAUUCCUGAGCCUGCACCAACUGCCCUCCGUUCGCUCCUCUCCAAAGGGUCUCAGAAACCCUCAAAAUAGUGUUAGGAAACCAUCUUACUAACGAAUGUCUGCCUCUUGCUUUCCACCGUAUUUAAAACUCUUCCUUAAGCUGAUAUGAAUUUUGUUAAAAGCACACGGAGAAUGUUUUCUCAUUGCCUCCCACUCUGAGCUAGGUAUUCCAUUCCCCCAAACACUCCUACAUUUAGUAAUGCGAAAAACAGUGAAAGAUCUCAAAGCCCAUAGAUGAAAGUUAAAUCAGUUCUGACAGACCCCGAUGUGUGAUGAAAUAUUAUGCAGCCAUUUAAAAUGAUGGAAUAAUACUUGAAAUAUAAAAAAGUUUAAAAUGCAAACCCCAGAAGCAUCUACAGUAUAUCCCCAAUUUUCUAACACACACGUGCACACACAGGCUUCUAAGAAAUGAUUAGAAGGAAAUACACCAAUGUAUUAAUAUUGGUUAUCUCUGGUAAGACUAAAAGUAAUUUUAAUUUUCUUUUCUUCUUUCCUGUAUUUUCCAUGGUAAGCAUACAUUGAUGUUAAUUUUUUGAUUGAAAAUUCUACUGGCUCCACGGCCUGUCUUGUGUAAUCACAGCUGAGCUCACUCAUCUUCUGGGCUUUGGCACCGUAGGGAGGAAGGCAGCCUUUCCCCAGUGUGCCCUUGGGCAAUCCAGAUCCACCCCGAGCCUGGGCCCUGCUGGGUACUGCCCAGGCGAUGCCAGGAGAGGGCUGAGUGGUGGCCGCAGCUGAGUGCAGACACAUGUGGUGCAGAGCACAGCAUGAUGCAGUGUGGGACGGUGGGCUUUGCAAACCCCAGGAAGGGACAGCGGCCAGGUGCUCCGCUCCAAGCCCAGUCCCCCAGGCCUCAGUGAGCACCCCCGGCUGUGACUUGGGCCAGCCCUCCAUUCACUCAGCCACUGUCUCUCUGAACAUGCCCUGCCCUCCUGCCGGGCUGGCUGGGCUCUAGGAGGGGGUGUCCUGUGCAGGAGGCACAUGUGAGCUCAAGGGCACACCAACCCCUCUCACUAGUCAUGAGUUGGGCCCAGUGCAAGCCCGCUCACUCACUGCUCACUCCCGCCAAGGUCAAGCUUCUGAACCCCUUCUUAGAGACAAGGAGACCUGGGCUUAGCCCUCGAGUCCACGUGGUCGCCAACAUGACAUGACGGAGCCAGGGCCCCCAGCCCUGCCCCAGCCUGGCCCCUCCUCCACACUGGCUUCUGUGCCUCCUGCAGGGCCAGCUUCUCAGCAGCGCCUCUCUCUGCAGGAAUUCACUCACUCGGAAGCUGGGCAGACUCAACCCAGAGCUUUGGCCUCCUGGACUUGGGCAUGCUCCUGUGUAAUGAGGAAGGGCCUCAUUUUAAACAACCAGAUCUUGUGAGAAAUCUUUCACGAGACAGUAGCAAGGGGAGGGUGCUAAACCAUUAGAAACUGCCCCGUGAUCCAAUCACCUCCCAC
rnacentral:lncRNA from 1 species